AGUAAGCCGGACAGUCGCGCUCCAAAGUACUUUGUACCAUGUGAGUGAGGAAAGUCCGGGCUUCGCAGAGCAGGGUGCCGGCUAACGGCCGGCGGAGGCGACUCCAGGACAAGUGCAACAGAAAUAGGUAGCCUGCCUUGGCAGGUCAUAAUGGAAAGGUGGGGUAAGAGCCCACCGCUGUGGUGGUAACAUCAUGGGUCAAUGUAAACUCCGCCCGAAGCAAGACAAACAGAGAUAAUGGGGCUGCUCGUUCCGUCUCGAAAAAGUCGCAUGAUGCCGCUGGCAACAGCGGACCAAGAUAGAUGGCUGUCUGAAAAACAGAACCCGGCUUACAGGCUUGCUCA
rnacentral:RNase_P_RNA from 1 species